ensembl:lncRNA
CUCUACUCACUGUACUCCCAAUGGAGGAGACAUAUACAGGACUUUGAGGCAAGAAUGUUGCCAUUUCCUUCUCCAGAGCAGCUUCCUGACCCAGGGAUCAAACCUGCAUCUCCAGCCCCCGCAGGUGGGUUCCUUACCACUACCACGACAGAUGAUGAGAUGGUUGAAUGGCAUCACUAACUCGAUGGACAUGAGUUUGAGUAGGCUCCAGGAGUUGGUGAUGGACAGGGAAGCCUGGUGUGCUGCAGUCUAUGGAAAGAGUCUCUCUAUGCAAAGAGUCAGAUAGGGCUGAGUGACUGAACUGAACUGAACUCUACAGUUCUUUUAGACACUUUAACAGAGGACAUGCAAAGAGAAAAAAAGUUGUGACUGUUGUAUGGAAUGCUUUAAAUGAAAUCAGAAGUUGAUUUAAAAUCUGAAUUAGCAAAAGCAAUAUUGACAUUGAUGGCAAAGCAAAAAUCAGAACAAGGAGAAAAGAUAUUUUCUUCCUAAAAAAAAGAAAACCAGCUGAUAUGGAACAGCAUAUACUCUAAUGUCCAAUUUGAAGAUGCUUUUAGAACCAGUCUUAAGAAUUUAAUCAAGGAAAAUGAAAAAUUAAGGUUUCUAUGUCUGAAAUAUUUUUAAUGAAACAAAGAAUAAAACUAUCAAGGAACUAAUGCUUUGUGUAUUUUAAAAUUUCAUUUUAAGAACAAUAACUUAAAGGAGGUGGGUGAUAUUAUCAAAAUGCAGUCCCCUAACAAGACCAACCAGGGGCUUCCAAGAUGGCAAUGGUAAAGACUCUGCCUGCCGGUGUAGGAGACACAGGAGAUGCAGCUUCAGUCCAUGGGUUGGGAAGAUAACCUGGAGAAGAAAAUGGCAACCCACUCUAGUAUUCUUGCGUGGAAAAUCCCAUGGACAUAGGAACCUUGUGGGCUACAGUCCAUGGGGUUGCAAAGAGUUGAACACAGCUCAGUGACUGAGCAUACAC